rnacentral:lncRNA from 1 species
GUCUUAGCUCUCACUUCCCGGGCUGCCUCCCGGGGAUUCUUUCCCGGCCCGGAAUCGGAAUCGUGCCCCCAGCCACCGCCCCCAAGCCCCUGAGCCCCCUCGAUGGGCCGGCUUGGCCCAGUGUCAUGCUGGACAGAGAUGCCCAACAGAUAGCGGAGGACAGUGGAAAUGCAGGCUUAGACUUCCUUAAGGUAAGACCAUUUUCCACCGGAUUGUUUCUCGAUGUGAUUUCUGCGUUUGUCUCCACAGAAAUGCUGGCAUCGCAGAAGGUAAACUACAGGGAGGCAGGGAAGUUGUUUAGUUAGGCCUUCAUGAUGAAUUCCUACGUGAUUUGGCUGUCAGAUGUGCUGGCAGAAUGAUUCCAAGGCAUAAAUAAAGAUGUACAACGGGAAGGGUGGACAAAGGCCUGUGGUCCUUGCGGGCAGUCGGCACUUCUCUGCGCGCUCCUUCCUGUGUGAGAGAAGCUGAAGUGAUGCCAAGUGACCCUUCACUAGGACCAGCAAAUAUAUAUGUGCUUGUGCAGAAGGUUUCUUCCAGCCAUGCAACCCCAGGAUUUACCAUCUGAUUCUAAUUACCACUUCUUUUUAAAGCUCCCUUUAAUUUUUUAUCUUGUGAUAUGAAAGCAGUUUUUCCUUUGAGGGUCUGCCCAGAUUAGGGGAGUCAGUGGUGCACAGGCUUUGAUGGCCCUGCUUGGCUCACUUCCCUCCACCCUUGUGGUCAUCCAGAUUUGAGCAGCAGUGAGAUGCUUAGGAAUAUGGGGCCACGAUCCUGAUUAAGCUUCAGCUCUGCUCUGAUUUCAUUUUAUGUACUUUUAAGUUGAUUGAGAAGUAACUUUGGGGACCAUCCUGACUUCCCGUGGGGACCUCUCCUUGGACCUGCUGUCAGCAUGCUUUCAUUCCAGGGUUGAGGCACCCAGGGGUGGUGAGAGGACUCGUGGUUUGGACUUACAGCUUUGCUUGUUUGUACUGACAGGGAGGAGACAAUUGUGUGUGUGUGGUUUUUUUAAUGAAAAUUGUCUGUAAAUGGGUAAAGAUCCAUUUAUAAAUCCAAAGAGGUUCUGAGACUUUACCCACCACGUUAAUUGCAAAGGUAAUACAGAGAUGUUCCUCAAUUCUAAAUGAUUCAAUUCAAGUAAUAAACAGUAAGGACAGACAGCAGUGGUGAAAACCAGGCAAUAAGCCUUCAGAAGCCAUAUGCUUGCAAUCUGUUAAUCCUGAAAUGUGUGUUUGUCUUCCAAUAUUUAUAGCCAGUUGGAAAUCUCCAUCUUUCUCAGCCGUUAGCUAACUCUUCUUGAUAAAGACAUUUUCCUGUAAUAGGAGCAAUGUAUUGGUAAUCCUAACUAUAAAUAUUUAAAUGACUGUUUUGAUGAAUGAAAGUGUCAGAAAUGACAUUGCCCAUGAGAAGAAAUGUGGUCAUUACACACAUCGACAGAAAUCCUUUAAAAUACAACUGAAUUUAUUUUAUUUUUAUUUUUUAUUUUUAUUUUUUUGGUCUUUUUGCCUUUUCUGGGGCCGCUCCUGCAGCAGGUUCCCAGGCUGGGGGUCGAAUCGGAGCUGUAGCCACUGGCCUACACUACAGCUCACAGCAACGCUGGAUCGUUAACCCACUGAGCAAGGCCAGGGAUCGAACCCGCAACCUCAUGGUUCCUAGUCAGAUUCGUUAACCACUGAGCCACGACAGGAACUCCCCAUUAAGUGAAUUUAUUAAUGUCGAGGGAGUUAAAAAGGAGGAAUGAAUGUUGUAAACUAAACAAAUGUUGAUUUAUUUAGCACUGAUGGAAAUUUCACAAUUCUACCUUGCUUACAACCUAGAGUGUAUACAUCAAAAAUGAUUUCCUGGGUUAAGGAUAAGUUACCAUUGUAUGGGGGAGGAAUAAAUACCAUUUGAGCCGGAAUCACUAUCC